rnacentral:lncRNA from 1 species
UGGCAACCUUGACUGUGCAUUCAUGCUGGAGCAUCUUUAUUUAUUUGUGCUGCUGGCUUUUGUUGGAAUUUAUUUGCUCUCAAAAUUCGAUUUAAAAAGGCUUUGGAAAAUUUAGAAAAAAAGGAAAAAGAAAAGAAAAACCAGCCGAACUCGGCUUGGUGGCCUGCUGGCCGAGAUGGCCCAACCAGCCCAACUUCUCUCCCCGGCCCAGCUUGCGCCCCCCGUGCCUCUCCUCCUCCCCUGGCCCGCUAAGCGCGGCCCGCCUAGCACCAGGCCGACCCGCGCGCCUUCCCCUCCCUCCUCUAUGGCCGACAGCCGGGCCCCACGCGUCAGCCUUUCCUCUCACCUUUCCUUCUUCUUCCUCCGCCGAGACGCAAGCAGGGGAACUUUCCUCCCCGUUUCAAACCCGAAUUCCGCGAUUCCUUGCCUUUUCCGUGGAAACAAACCUCUAUAAAGGCCUCAAGCCUCGCGCGCACUCCGUUCCUAUCCAAC